rnacentral:tRNA from 2 species
CGGUUCGUAGCUCAGUUUGGUGAGAGCGCUCGGUUGAAACCCGAGAGGGCCUUGGUUCGACUCCAAGCGAUCCGGC